AAAAGAUGAGUCGUAUAUACACCCAGUGUAAGCUUUCACAUCAGCCGUUGCUCUUGAUUGUCUUUGCAAGUCCAUAGAUAUAAUUUCUUAUGAUUUUCCUUUACUCAUAGUAAGUACUGAAUAUUUUGUGCUUCAACCCUUUAGGUGUUAAUUUCUAUGAUGUGGCUAGCAAAGUUGGCAACAGCUGGAGCUACCUGGAACUUUCAAUUUUGGUGCCAAGAUGGAUGGAUUCAACUGGGUGACCCACAGUCAGGGCGUGGCCGCGGCUGCGGCGCGGGCAGCAAGGACGAGCGCCGCAAGGGAGCCGAUGGGCGUGGGCGUGAACCGGGGAGAGGAGACCGUGGCGGAGGAGAUGAGAGAAGACCACCGUCUUCUUCUCCCCCCUCUCCGACCAGAAACCCCUAUAUAUCCAUCCGACGAGAGAAGACUGCGGGCGGAGGAGAGGAGACGCGGGUGAGGUAAGAGGAGCCAAAUCCCCAUCAUGCUCCUCCCCGCGCGCCGCCGACCCACCCGCGGCAUUCUUUCUGGUGUGCUAGGUAACCGAAUCCACCUACCCCUACCCGUACCUUUUUGGGGGGAUUUUGUUGAACUAUUUUGGGGCUUUUGAUUUGGGGGCGAUGUUGACAUGAUUGUUCGAGGAAGGGGAAUGGCUUCUUGUGCGCUCAGUUUGUUGUUGUCUGCAGGGGAAACAACAGCAAGAUGG